rnacentral:rRNA from 1 species
CGGGUGAGUAAUGGAUAAGUAACCUGCCCUUAAGUGGGGGAUAACACUUCGAAAGAAGUGCUAAUACCGCAUGUGGUGCUCUUUCACAAGAAGGAUCACUAAAACCGCAAGGUGCUUGAGGAGGGGCUUGUCUCCGAUUAGCUAGUUGGUGGGGUAACGGCCUACCAAGGCGAUGACCGGUAGCUGGUCUGAGAGGAUGGUCAGCCACACUGGGACUGAGACACGGCCCAGACUCCUACGGGAGGCAGCAGCAAGGAAUCUUGGGCAAUGGGCGAAAGCCUGACCCAGCGACGCCGCGUGAGGGAUGACGGCCUUCGGGUUGUAAACCUCUUUUCUCAGGGAAGAAUAAUGACGGUACCUGAGGAAUAAGUCUCGGCUAACUACGUGCCAGCAGCCGCGGUAAUACGUAGGAGGCGAGCGUUAUCCGGAUUUAUUGGGCGUAAAGUGGGCGUAGGUGGUCUUUCAAGUCGGAUGUGAAAUCUCCCGGCUCAACUGGGAGGGGUCAUCCGAUACUGUUGGACUUGAGUACAGCAGGGGAAAAUGGAAUUCCCGGUGUAGUGGUGAAAUGCGUAGAUAUCGGGAGGAACACCAGAGGCGAAGGCGAUUUUCCAGGCUGAAACUGACACUGAGGCCCGAAAGCGUGGGGAGCGAACAGGAUUAGAUACCCUGGUAGUCCACGCCUUAAACUAUGGGUACUAGGUAUAGGG